GGAGAGGUGCCGGAGCGGCUGAACGGGCACGACUGGAAAUCGUGUGUGGGCUCAACGGUCCACCGAGGGUUCGAAUCCCUCCCUCUCCG
rnacentral:tRNA from 1 species